CGUAGAGCCCAGUUCCCGGUACGACUCGGCGCGGGGCGGGGUCCGGUGCUGUCCUAGGGGGCUGGCUGCCAGAGUGGACAUGGCGGCCGGCCGCACCCGGGUGGUGCUUGCCGCCCUGGCUGUGCUUACUGUCUGUGCGGCCAGCGGCCCGGGGCCCGGGACAGAAAGGGAGCCCGGUGGGGAGGCGGAGUGGGCGGAGCCGUGGGAUGGAGCGGUUUUCCGGACGCCGUCGGCGCUGGGCGCAGUGGGGGUGGCGCGCAGUCCGGAGACCCGGUGGCCGGGGAGAAAGGACGCAGGGGACCUGCCGGUGCUGCUGUGGUGGAGUCCAGGGCUGUUCCCCCACUUCCCGGGCGACUCGGAGCGCAUCGAGUGCGCGCGCGGCGCGUGCGUGGCGUCCCGGGACCGCCGGGUGCGGGGGCUCUCGCGCACGCGCGCGCUGCUCUUCUACGGCACCGACUUCCGCGCGUCGGAGGCGCCGCUGCCCCGUCUGGCGCACCAGAGUUGGGCGCUGCUGCACGAGGAGUCGCCCCUCAACAACUUCCUGCUGAGCCACGGUCCGGGCAUCCGCCUCUUUAAUCUGACCGCCACCUUCAGCCGCCACUCGGACUACCCGCUGCCGCUGCAGUGGCUGCCCGGGGCCGCCUACCUGCGCCGCGCGGCGCCUCCCCUCCGGGAGCGUGCGGAGUGGCGCCGCCGCGGCUACGCGCCGCUGCUGUAUCUGCAGUCGCACUGUGACGUGCCUGCGGACCGGGACCGCUACGUGCGCGAGCUCAUGCGCUACAUCCCGGUGGACUCGUACGGGAAAUGCCUGCAGAAUCGGGAGCUGCCCACCCCGCGGUUACAGGACACAGCCACGGCCACCACCGAGGACCCAGAGCUCCUGGCCUUCUUGUCCCGCUAUAAGUUCCAUCUGGCUCUCGAGAAUGCUAUCUGUGACGACUACAUGACAGAAAAGCUGUGGCGCCCCAUGCACCUCGGUGCGGUGCCUGUGUAUCGCGGCUCCCCCUCGGUGAGGGACUGGAUGCCCAACAAUCACUCCAUCGUCCUCAUCGAUGACUUUGAGUCACCGCAGAAGCUGGCAGAGUUUAUUGACUUCCUGGACAAGAACGAUGAAGAAUAUAUGAAAUACCUGGCAUACAAACAACCCGGGGGCAUCACCAACCAGUUCCUCCUGGAUAGUCUGAAGCAUCGGGAGUGGGGAGUGAAUGACCCUUUAUUGCCCAACUAUCUCAAUGGCUUCGAGUGUUUCGUUUGUGAUCAUGAGCUGGCGAGGCUGGAGGCGGAGAAAGCCCACGAAGCCGCCCCCGGAGACACCCCUGUCCCUGAGCCUCACAUUGCCCAGCCCUCACACAUGGACUGCCCAGUGCCAACACCUGGCUUUGGCAGUGUGGACGAGAUUCCUGAGAGUGACAGCUGGAAGGAGAUGUGGCUGCAAGACUAUUGGCAAGGUCUGGACCAGGGGGAAGCUCUCACUGCCAUGAUCCACAACAAUGAGACACAAGAGAGGAAAUUUUGGGAUUACCUACAUGAGAUCUUCCUGAAAAGGAACCAAAAUCUCUAAUUACCCUGCGAGAGCUUUGAACUUGGUAGGUCUAAGGAGAUGGAAGUCAUUCUACCACAGGACAUGCUGCACAAACCCUUAAUGAACACUGUCUUAUCCUGAACUUAAGGGAUUCUAGUUGUAUCUACUGAUAUUUUAUCCUAAUGAUGUAUAGCCAGGGUCUCAGACUGUGGUAAUAGGGCUUCUCCUCAAGGAGAGAUGAAGGCAUCCAGUUCUUAGUUUAGUGGAAAAGAGAAGCCUGAAACACCCAUUUGAUUCAAGGUGCAGAUCCAACAGAAUUUUUAAAGAACUGCUUAUUUCUCUAGCCUUUUCAUCCUCUCAUUUAUGACUGGAAGAACACCUUAGUACUUGGCUACAAAUGAGAAAUCAGUGGAAAAAUAUCCUUGCGAGAGGAUUAACCAAACAAAAUAACAACAAAAAAGCUGUGAGUCCAGUUGGGGGUAUAGCCAAACCUUUCUAUUGCUAUGAUCUGAAUAGAUAGCUUAAUGGGCAGAGAGGUCGUUAGCUUUUUCUGGAGCAGAGAAACAGGGAAGAAUAUCUUGGCCCUUAGAGCUACCCUGGUUGUAAAGUUGUAUUAAUGAAUUAUCACCAGAGAAGUUCCAUAGCUUAUCAAUAUAUCAGGUGGUAAAUUAUUAUGAAUGUAUGUAUAAAUUUUUUUACUAUCAGAGUUAAUAAUACAAAUAUAUGUAGAUGCCUCAACAACGAAGGUCCUACACUUAAUAUUGUAACAUCUAAGGAUGUGGCUAAGGAAUGCUAUUAUUUAGGCUGGAUUUCACUGUCAGAGUGCUUCUUUUUUCAUUCUAUUCUUUAAUAAAAAAAAUACCAUCCGUAAUAGCUUGGAAAGUUUGCUUAACCUUUUUGCUCUUUUGCAGAAAAGAAAAAGAGGUAAAGCUAGAUCUUCAAGUAUACUUAUGUUAGCCUGGCUGGGUAGCUCAGUUGGUUAGAGCAUCGUCCCAAUACACCAAGGUGUGGGUUCAAUCCCCGGUCAGGGCACAUAUAAGAACCAAUCAGUGAAUGCAUAAAUAAAUGGAACAACAAAUCAAUGUUUCUCUCUUUCCUUCCUCUCUCUCCCUCUCCCUUUCUCUCCAAAAUCAAUAAAUUGUAAAGAAAUUUUUAAAGAUACUUAUGUUAAAAUUUGAUACAGUAGGGAUCCACAACUGAAGUCAAAUUCAGGACUGAUUUCUAAGCUUGCAAUUUGUUCAAAUACAAAUGUUGACUUAUAGGGGCAGGUUGGAGGGGGUAAUAAAAAACAAAAUAAAAACUACUCUAAUGAGACCAAAAAAAAGUGAAAUAACAAAUUUCUCUCUCAUCAAUACAUACGUUUAAAAAAAGUUUAAUCUUCGAGAAUUAUCCAGUAUAUUUUAUUAUAUAUGGCCAAUAAAAAAGUAUCUUUUGAUGACCAGCAUAACUGAUGACAUUAAAGAAAUUACAGUAUAUAUUAUUGUUUUUCCACAAUGGGCCACUAUUCAGAAAAGUGAUCUAGGGUUUUUCCCUAGACAACUGUAUAAGAAACCUAUAACCUACUUAGUACAUACUUAUUGUUCAUAUCCAAGCUCCAUAGAAUUGGCUUCACCCAAUUAGAUGUCUCUUUAAAAAUAAAUCAUUGGCUUUCAUGCUUAUGUGAAUUCUCUGUGCACACAUAUUGAAAUUUUGAUUUUCCUGCUGUUAAAUAAUCAUUGUUAUUUUCCUAAUCUCUCCCCAUAGUUUAGAAAUUGAGUGCUAUAAAAUGACUAUGUAACCAUAUCUUUCUGCAGCCCGUAAUUGAAUCAAUGGCUUUUUGCUAGGCACAUGGUCAGACAAUACUGAGAGCCUGUUCAAUAAAGGCAAUGCACCCUGUAGUGUGGCUCCAAGGACCACAUCAGAUCACUAGGUAGAAAUUAACUGCCUUUCUUGUCUGGUACUUCAUUAAAAUUCAAAAAUAAUUGUUCCAACUAGUUGGCACUUAUUGUACAUGAAAAACAAAACAAAAUACUAGUACCCAAGUACAAACUAAAAUUAGGACUUAAAUUUCAUUAUGGGCAGUAAAAAGAGUAAGUGAUCGUAGUUACAUGAGAUGUAGAAUCAUCCUUACCUUUCCUGUCUGUUCACAACAGUUCACAUUGGCACUCCUAUAGCACUUUUAUGUACAAAGUGGGCUAGUUGUUUAUGAAUUAUUGUGGCUGGAGACUCAUGCCUGCUUUGUGGUCAGUACUUACAGACUUUUUUCCUUUAUUCCUAUUGCCAUAAAAAAUAUUCACAAAAGAGCAGAGUAAACCAGGUGCUACAUUUCCAUAAGGGAAAGCAGAACCAGGAAUAGCCACAUGGCACUUAUCAACUAAAGGCUUCACUUUCCCUAUGGAGAAAGCAAGCAAUGUGAAUUUUCUCUGGUUUGGGGCACAGCCUGCUCUAUAUACAGCAGCAGGCUUGGGGUUAUUAGCGGUAGACGUUUCUAAUAGGAAUCAGUUUUAUUUAUGCUGCUGGAGGGGAUGAAGCAUGGGGCUGAUACUUUUAUUACUACAAGUAUUGCUAUUUUCUGUUACCUCAGGUUUCCUUUUGUAUAAUAAAUGGCUUAUUUUUAAACAGUG